rnacentral:rRNA from 1 species
AACGAACGCUGGCGGCAGGCUUAACACAUGCAAGUCGAACGCGUGUAGCAAUACACGAGUGGCGCACGGGUGAGUAACGCGUGGAUAUCUGCCUUUUGGUUCGGAAUAACUCCGGGAAACUGGAGCUAAUACCGGAUGGUUCCUACGGGAUAAAGAUUUAUCGCCAAAAGAUGAGUCCGCGUACGAUUAGCUAGUUGGUGAGGUAAUGGCUCACCAAGGCGACGAUCGUUAGCUGGUCUGAGAGGACGAUCAGCCACACUGGGACUGAGACACGGCCCAGACUCCUACGGGAGGCAGCAGUGGGGAAUAUUGGACAAUGGGGGCAACCCUGAUCCAGCCAUGCCGCGUGAGUGAUGAAGGCCUUCGGGUGUAAAGCUCUUUUGCGGGACGAUGAUGACGGUACCCGCACGAAUAAGCCCCGGCGUAACUUCGUGCCAGCAGCCGCGGUAA